UGGGGAAUUUUGGACAAUGGGCGCAAGCCUGAUCCAGCAAUGCCGCGUGCAGGAUGAAGGCCUUCGGGUUGUAAACUGCUUUUGUACGGAACGAAACGGUCCUUUCUAAUACAAGGGGCUAAUGACGGUACCGUAAGAAUAAGCACCGGCUAACUACGUGCCAGCAGCCGCGGUAAUACGUAGGGUGCGAGCGUUAAUCGGAAUUACUGGGCGUAAAGCGUGCGCAGGCGGUUAUGUAAGACAGAUGUGAAAUCCCCGGGCUCAACCUGGGACCUGCAUUUGUGACUGCAUAGCUAGAGUACGGUAGAGGGGGAUGGAAUUCCGCGUGUAGCAGUGAAAUGCGUAGAUAUGCGGAGGAACACCGAUGGCGAAGGCAAUCCCCUGGACCUGUACUGACGCUCAUGCACGAAAGCGUGGGGAGCAAACAGGAUUAGAUACCCGGGUAGUCCACGCCCUAAACGAUGUCAACUGGUUGUUGGGUCUUCACUGACUCAAGUAACGAAGCUAACGCGUGAAGUUGACCGCCUGGGGAGUACGGCCGCAAGGUUGA
rnacentral:rRNA from 1 species